AUCCCGAACAAUAAGAAGAAUUUAAGUAACCUGGCUGAAGCUCAAGACACGUGCUGACCCAAGUAGAUGGACUUCCAGAAGACACAACUCUGGAGGCAAGAGUGAAGACCCUUCAACAAUAUACUACAACAUAGAAAUAUUGUUCAGAGGGGCCAAAUUUAAAUUAAGGAACACAACGUAUGGAAUAGAAGGAAGGUCCAAGCUCUUAGAUUGACGUGUUAAGCUUCAGGACCCACACCUCCAAGAGUGGAAUUAUUUAGAAAUUGUCUCAUCCCGAACAAUAAGAAGAAUUUAAGUAACCUGGCUGAAGCUCAAGACACGUGCAGACCUAAGUAGAUGGACUUCCAGAAGCCACAACUCCGGAGGCAACAGUGAAGACCCUUCAACAAUAUACUACAACAUAGAAAUUUUGUUCAGAGGGGCCAAAUUUAAAUUAAGGAACACAACGUACGGGAUAGAAGGAAGGUCCAAGCUCUCAGAUUGACGUGUUAAGCUUCAAGACCCACACCUCCAAGAGUGGAAUUAUUUAGAAAUAUAUUUCGUGACUGGUGCUGUUAAAACAAUAAAGAAAUGAAUGAAGAUGGAAGCACACAAACCAAUACAUUAACUUUUAGAAGUGUUAAGUGUAUAAGAAAUAAGAAGUCUUUGGAAAUUGAUAAAUUUGUCCAUGGUGAAUUUUGAGAAAUAAGGCGUCGAAUUAUUCAAAGACUCAACACUACUAACAGAAAAAAGAAACUGAACAGAAAUCCUUAGAGGAGGUAGCAGCAGAAAGCUUCAAUGAACUGAACUUAUUCCGGAUAACGUAACUACAUGCCCAUUUUCAUUCUAUAAAACUAUACAAGAUGUUAGAGGGGUGUCAGUAAU